rnacentral:rRNA from 1 species
AUCGAACGUGGAGAUAGCUGGUUCUCCCCGAAAUAGCUUUAGGGCUAGCCUCAGGCGAAUAACCAUAGAGACGGUAGAGCACUGAUCGGGCAAGGGGGCGUAAAGCCUACCGACCCCAGUCAAACUACGAAUGGCUCAUAUGGGCAGCCUGGGAGUCAGAAUGCGAGUGAUAAGACCCGUAUUCAAGAGGGAAACAGCCCAGACCGCCGGCUAAGGUCCCAAAUGCUGUGCUAAGUGGAGAAGGAUGUAGGACUUCGAAAACAACCAGGAUGUUGGCUCAGAAGCAGCCACCAUUAAAAGAGUGCGUAAUAGCUCACUGGUCGAGAGGCCCUGCGCCGAAAAUAUCCGGGGCUCAAGCACAGAACCGAAGCCGCGGCAGGGUGUACUACGGUACACACUGGGUAGGGGAGCGUUCUUAUCUGGACGAAGGCAGACCGGAAGGACUGCUGGACGGGUAAGAAGUGAGAAUGCCGGUAUGAGUAGCGAAACGACAGGUGAGAAUCCUGUCCACCGAAAGCCUAAGGAAUCCCGGGCAACGCUCGUCGUCCCGGGGUAAGUCGGGACCUAAGCCGAGGCGAAAAGCAUAGGCGAUGGACAACUGGCGAAAAUUCCAGUACCGGGCGACUUCGUUUGAGGAUGGAGUGACGCAGGAAGGAAGCUGAGCGCGCGACUGGUAGAGCGCGUCGAAGGCGGUAGGCUGGUAUGGAGGCAAAUCCCCAUACCGUAAAGGCCGAGAACCGAUAGAUAGGAAGGGCUACGGCCCGACUGAAUUCAGCCGCACUAAACUGCCAAGAAAAGCUUCUAACGAGAAGUCGUCCGCCCGUACCAAAACCGACACAGGUAGGCGGGGAGAGAAUCCUAAGGUGCGCGGGAAAACCCUCGUUAAGGAACUCGGCAAAAUGCAUCCGUAACUUCGGGAAAAGGAUGGCCGUUGAUGGUGAAGGUGUUUACCACCGGAGCUGUUGACGGCGGCAGAAAAGAGGCCCAAGCGACUGUUUACCACAAACACAGGUGCCUGCGAAAGCGCAAGCUGAAGUAUAGGUGCUGACGCCUGCCCGGUGCAGGAAGGUUAAGGAGAGUUGUUAUCCCCUGAGGAGAAGCAGCGAACUGAAGCCCCUGUAAACGGCGGCCGUAACUAUAACGGUCCUAAGGUAGCGAAAUUCCUUGUCGGGUAAGUUCCGACCCGCACGAAAGGCGUAACGAUUUGGGCACUGUCUCAACGAGGGGCCCGGUGAAAUUGAAAUACCUGUGAAGAUGCAGGUUACCCGCGACUGGACAGAAAGACCCCAUGGAGCUUUACUGCAGCUUGGCAUUGGUCUUUGGCAUAUAACGUACAGGAUAGCCGGGAGACUGGGAAACCUUAUCGCUAGAUGAGGUGGAGUCACCGUUGGGAUACCGGCCUUUAUAUGCUAAGGAUCUAACCGGAAUGUUAACAGCAUUCGGGACAGUACCAGGCGGGCAGUUUGACUGGGGCGGUCGCCUCCGAAAGAGCAACGGAGGCGUCCAAAGGUUCCCUCAGCGCGGACAGAAAUCGCGCGAAGAGCAUAAAGGCAGAAGGGAGCUUGACUGCGAGACUGACGGGUCGAGCAGGUACGAAAGUAGGGCUUAGUGAUCCGGUGGAAAGAGAGUGGAAUUGCCAUCGCUCAACGGAUAAAAGCUACCCUGGGGAUAACAGGCUAAUCUCUCCCAAGAGUCCAUAUCGACGGGGAGGUUUGGCACCUCGAUGUCGGCUCAUCACAUCCUGGGGCUGAAGCAGGUCCCAAGGGUUGGGCUGUUCGCCCAUUAAAGUGGUACGUGAGCUGGGUUCAGAACGUCGUGAGACAGUUCGGUCCAUAUCCAUCGCGGGCGUAAGAUACAUGAGGGAGGCUGCUCCUAGUACGAGAGGACCGGAGUGGACGGACCAACGGUGUACCGGUUGUCCUGCCAAGGGCACGGCCGGGUAGCUGCGUCCGGAAGGGAUAAACGCUGAAAGCAUCUAAGCGUGAAGCCCGUCCCGAGAUGAAGUAUCUCAUUCCUAUAAGGAAGUAAGACCCCUUGAAGAAGACAAGGUUGAUAGGCUGGAUGUGGAAGCACAGCAAUGUGUGCAGCUGACCAGCACUAAUCGGUCGAGGGCUUGACUUA